rnacentral:rRNA from 1 species
GACGAACGCUGGCGGCGUGCUUAACACAUGCAAGUCGAACGGAAAGGCCCUGCUUGCAGGGUACUCGAGUGGCGAACGGGUGAGUAACACGUGGGUGAUCUGCCCUGCACUUCGGGAUAAGCCUGGGAAACUGGGUCUAAUACCGGAUAGGAGCCAUUUUUAGUGUGAUGGUUGGAAAGUUUUUUCGGUGUAGGAUGAGCUCGCGGCCUAUCAGCUUGUUGGUGGGGUAAUGGCCUACCAAGGCGGCGACGGGUAGCCGGCCUGAGAGGGUGGACGGCCACAUUGGGACUGAGAUACGGCCCAGACUCCUACGGGAGGCAGCAGUGGGGAAUAUUGCACAAGGGGCGCAAGCCUGAUGCAGCGACGCCGCGUGGGGGAGGACGGCCUUCGGGUUGUAAACGCCUUUCGCUAGGGACGAAGCUUUUUGUGACGGUACCUAGAUAAGAAGCACCGGCUAACUACGUG